rnacentral:rRNA from 1 species
GACAGAGGUGGCGAGCGUUGUUCGGAAUCAUUGGGCUUAAAGCGUGAGUAGGCGGCCCGUUAAGCGUCUUGUGAAAUCCCUCGGCUCAACCGGGGAAUUGCUUGGCGAACUGGCGGGCUUGAGGCAGGUAAGGGCGAGUGGAACUCUCGGUGGAGCGGUAAAAUGCGUAGAUAUCGAGAGGAACGCCGGUGGUGAAGACGAUUCGCUGGGCCUGUCCUGACGCUGAGUCACGAAAGCCAGGGGAG